AUUGAACGCUGGCGGCAGGCCUAACACAUGCAAGUCGAGCGGUUGAGGUAGCUUGCUACCGAUGCAGCGGCGAACGGGUGAGUAAUACAUGGGAAUCUGCCUGGUAGUGGGGGACAACGUUUCGAAAGGAACGCUAAUACCGCAUACGCCCUACGGGGGAAAGGGGGGGAUCGCAAGACCUCUCGCUAUCAGAUGAGCCCAUGUCAGAUCCGCUAGUUGGUGAGGUAAAGGCUCACCAAGGCGACGAUCUGUAACUGGUCUGAGAGGAUGAUCAGUCACACUGGAACUGAGACACGGUCCAGACUCCUACGGGAGGCAGCAGUGGGGAAUAUUGGACAAUGGGGGCAACCCUGAUCCAGCCAUGCCGCGUGUGUGAAGAAGGCCUUAGGGUUGUAAAGCACUUUCAGUGGGGAGAAAGGUGAUUCACCUAAUACGUGAGUCAAUUGAUGCUACCCACAGAAGAAGCACCGGCUAACUCCGUGCCAGCAGCCGCCGUAA
rnacentral:rRNA from 1 species